GCCCUCUUCGUCUAUCGGCUAGGACAUCAGGUUCUCAUCCUGGAAAGAGGGGUUCGAUUCCCCUAGAGGGUGCCA
rnacentral:tRNA from 1 species